ensembl:lncRNA
AGUCACUACAGAAAGUGGAGCCUGCCAUAGGGCUUUCUCCUGAACUGCAGCUCCCGUCCCCGCCAAUCUCUUCCUCGGCCCCGGCGCUGACGUUCACGCGUGGAAUAUUCUGGCCAGGAGCAAAGACCCCAGGGCGGAAACUAGGACCAGAGGCUGAAAGUCCGUGCUUGGCGGCGAGGGCUGCUAAACGGGCAGCUGAGGGCGACUCUAGCCCGGGUUCCAGAAGAGCGUGGAAUGGACCGAGUGCUUGUGGGAAAUUUCCUAAUUGAGGCUUACCUACUAAAGUUCUUUACGUUUUAAAGGGUUCCAUUGCAUCAGCCCUCAAAAUGUUUCCUUCCCCAUCCCUCUUUCUUCUAUCUUGGUGGUAUGUCUAGGGACUCUCCACUGGGAGAGAAUCAUUUUGUUCUCCCCGAGGAGGGAGGUCAGAAGUGGGAGACACCCAGGUUGUGUUAGAAACUGUAUGGUAGUCGGCGCGAUGGCUCAUGCCUGUGGUCCCAGCUACUCAGGAGGCUAAGGCGGGAGGAUUGCUUGAGCCCUGGAGGUCGAGGCUGCAGUGAGCCAUGAUCGCGCCUGUGAAUACUCUAGGAGGAUGGAUGACAUAGCAAGACCGUUUCAAAAAGAUGAGAAAGAAACUGCAGCGUAAAGUAGCACACCUAUUACAAAGAGGUGAGCCUAAUUCCCCCCAACUUGAGUGUGGGCUGGACUUAGUGACUGGCAUCUAAAGAAUAGCAUAAAGUGGAAGUGAUGGUGUGUGACUUUGGAGACUCAGUUAAAGGCAGAGUGGCUUUCAUCUUGGUCUCUUUCUCUCUUGGAUCACUUGCUCUGGGGGAAGCCAGCUGCCAUGUUAUGAGGACAUUCAGGUCCUAUGGAGAAGUCCAGAUGGUAAGGAACUGUCUUGCCAACAACCAUGUGAGUGAGCCAUCUUGGAAGCAAAUCCUUCAGCCCCAGCCAAGCCUUCAGAUAACUGCAGCUGCAGCCAACCGUUUGACUGCAACCCACCUGGGCCACUCUUGGAUUCCUAAGAAACCGAGAUAAUACAUUUUGCUGUUUUAAGCUGCUACGUUUUGAGAUAAUUUGUUAUACAGCUAUAAUCAGUUAACAGUUGCACUUGGCUGACUGGGCAUGGUGGCUCAUGCCUGUAACCCCAGCACUUUGAGAGGCCAAGGGAGGAGAAUCGCUUGAGCCCAGGAGUUCGAGACCAGUCUGUGCAACAUAGUGAGACUCCAUCUUUACCAAAAAAGCUAAAAAUUAUCUUGGCAAGGUGAGGCGCACCUGCAGUCCCAGCUACUCAGGAGGCUGAGGUGGGAAGAUUGCUAGAGCCAGGGGGCCAAGGGUGCAAUGAGCUAUGAUCACACCACUGCACUAUAGGCUGAGUAACACAGUGAGACCUUGUCUCUAAAAAUAAUAAUAAUGAUGUACCUAUUUUUUUAAAGUUUUUAAAGUCAUGUUUAUUGAAGUAUGAAUUUACAUUCAGUAAAAUUCACCUUGUUCGUUGGUUGUGGUGGCUCACACCUGUAAUCCUAGCACUUUGGGAGGCUGAGGUGGAUGGAUCACUUGAGGCCAGGAGUUCAAGACCAGCCUGGCCAACAUAGCAAAAACCCAUCUCUACUAAAAAUACAAAAAAAUUAGCUGGGCAUGGUGGCAUGUGCUUGUAAUCCCAGCUACUCGGAAGGUUGAGGCACUAGAAUUGCUUGAACCCAGGAAGCAGAGGUUGCAGUGAGCUGAGAUCGUGCCAUUUCACUCCAGCCUGGGGGACAGAGCAAGACUCCAUCUCAAAAAUCAAAACAAACAAACAAACAAAAACACCCUGUUAAGCUCUGACAAAUGCAUAGUCAUAUCAUAAUCAAGACAUAGAACAAUUGUAGAAUCACUCUUAACAGUUCCCUCAAAAUCAAGAAGUCAACCCCUUCUUGAUCCCAAGGAACUCAUUGACCUGUUUUUCUGUCAAAAGGGUCAAAUUUAAUCAGUAAAAUGAUCUGCGGUACUAUGGAAAAAUGUGUAAGCAUAGAAAACACACAAACCAACUUUUUU